UACGUAGGGGGCUAGCGUUGUCCGGAAUCAUUGGGCGUAAAGAGCGUGUAGGCGGCUUGGUAAGUCCGCUGUGAAAGUCCAGGGCUCAACCCCUGGAAUGCCAGUGGAUACUGUCAAGCUAGAGUCCGGAAGAGGCGAGUGGAAUUCCUGGUGUAGCGGUGAAAUGCGCAGAUAUCAGGAGGAACACCAAUGGCGAAGGCAGCUCGCUGGGACGGUACUGACGCUGAGACGCGAAAGCGUGGGGAGGCAAACAGG
rnacentral:rRNA from 1 species